rnacentral:rRNA from 1 species
AGAGUUUGAUCAUGGCUCAGGAUGAACGCUAGCGGCAGGCCUAAUACAUGCAAGUCGAACGGUAACAUGAGAGCUUGCUCUUGAUGACGAGCGGCGCACGGGUGCGUAACGCGUAUGCAACCUACCCUUUACUGGGGGAUAGCCCGGAGAAAUUCGGAUUAAUACCCCAUAGUACUACAAGAUGGCAUCUGAAAGUAGUUAAAGAUUUAUUGGUAAAGGAUGGGCAUGCGUGACAUUAGUUAGUUGGUGAGGUAACGGCUCACCAAGACGACGAUGUCUAGGGGUUCUGAGAGGAAGGUCCCCCACACUGGUACUGAGACACGGACCAGACUCCUACGGGAGGCAGCAGUAGGGAAUAUUGGGCAAUGGAGGCAACUCUGACCCAGCCAUGCCGCGUGCAGGAAGACAGCUUUCUGAGUUGUAAACUGCUUUUAUAUAGGAACAAAGAGGCCAUGCGUGGCAAGUUGCGUGUACUAUAUGAAUAAGCACCGGCCAACUCCGUGCCAGCAGCCGCGGUAAUACGGAGGGUGCAAGCGUUGUCCGGAUUUAUUGGGUUUAAAGGGUGCGUAGGUGGUUUUUUAAGUCAGUGGUGAAAGCCUACAGCUCAACUGUAGAGGUGCCAUUGAAACUGAAAAACUUGAGUAUGGACGAGGUAGGCGGAAUUUGUGGUGUAGCGGUGAAAUGCAUAGAUACCACAAAGAACACCAAUAGCGAAGGCAGCUUACUGGACCAUAAC